rnacentral:rRNA from 1 species
CCUACGGGAGGCAGCAGUGAGGAAUAUUGGUCAAUGGGCGGGAGCCUGAACCAGCCAAGCCGCGUGAGGGAAGAAGGUACAGCGUAUCGUAAACCUCUUUUGUCAGGGAACAAAGGCGGGGACUAGUCCCCGAAUGAGGGUACCUGAAGAAAAAGCAUCGGCUAACUCCUUACCAGCAGCCGCGGUAAUACGCGGGAUGCGAGGGUUAACCGGAUUUCUGGGGUGUAAAGGAUGCGCAGGCGGACUGUUAAGGCAUCGGGAAAAGCCCGGGGCGAAACCCCGGCGAGCCGUUGAAACUGGCGGGCUGGAGUGGGAGAGAAGUAAGCGGAAUGAGCGGUGUAGCGGUGAAAUGCUUAGAUAUCGCGCAGAACCCCGAUUGCGAAGGCAGCGUACCGGCUCCACACUGACGCUGAGGCACGAAAGCGUGGGUAUCGAACAGGAUUAGAUACCCGAGUAGUC